UUGCGGGUGGUGUUUGCGUUUUAUUGCGUGAAGCCUUGGGUCCGGUGUGCGCAAUCCCGGAACCUCGCCGUCUGCAA
ncrna:unclassified sequences S6-S18-Chlorobi ribosomal protein leader